rnacentral:rRNA from 1 species
UCCUACGGGGCGCAGCAGUGGGGAAUAUUGCACAAUGGGGGAAACCCUGAUGCAGCGACGCCGCGUGAAGGAAGAAGUAUUUCGGUAUGUAAACUUCUAUCAGCAGGGAAGAAAAUGACGGUACCUGACUAAGAAGCCCCGGCUAACUACGUGCCAGCAGCCGCGGUAAUACGUAGGGGGCAAGCGUUAUCCGGAUUUACUGGGUGUAAAGGGAGCGCAGGCGGCCUGGCAAGUCUGAUGUGAAAUACCGGGGCCCAACUUCGGGACUGCAUUGGAAACUGUCAGACUGGAGUGCUGGAGAGGCA